UGUGUGAGAAUUGGUAUCAACUAGUGAUGCACCGAUGUGAAAAUUGUGGCCGAUACCGAUAACCGAUAUUAAUUUUGCUGUUAUGGCCGAUACCGAUAUUUACCGAUGUCGAUAUAUCUGUAUAGAAAACACAUUCUUAUGAUAAUCAAAUAAAGAGCUAUUUUCCAAAAUGCAUUUUUUUUAAAUAACGUUUCAAUAGCCUACCUUAGAA